AAGCUAAAAAGGAGAUAGGUGCAGAGACUCAAUGGAAGCUAUUCUAACGAAUGGAGUUGACUACGUUGCGUUGGUAACUGAAAUCUUUCUAAAUUAAAGAAAAAAAGGAUGACCUAUAUAUCUAAUACGUACGUAUACAUACUGACAUAUCAAACAAUUAAUCAUGACUCAAAUCCAUAUUAAUAAUAAUCAAGUAAAUACACAAAAUUCAGAAUUAGUGUGGAUCUAUGCUAAUCCAAUCGAAGUUGAAGGAAGAAUCGAAUAUUCAGUGAUCAAAUCAUUCAUUCCAGAAUUUGAUAUGAUUAUGAUAGGCUUUUUUUUUUGAAAAACUGAUUAAUCGGACGAGAAUAAAGAGAGAGUCCCAUUUUACAUGUCAAUACCGGCAACAAUGAAAUUUAUCGUAAGAGGAAAAUCCGUCGACUUUAGAAAUCGUGA
rnacentral:precursor_RNA from 1 species